UACGUAGGUGGCAAGCGUUGUCCGGAAUUACUGGGUGUAAAGGGAGCGCAGGCGGGGAAGCAAGUCGGCUGUGAAAUGCAUAGGCUUAACCUAUGAAUUGCAGUUGAAACUGUUUUUCUUGAGUGGAGUAGAGGUAGGCGGAAUUCCGAGUGUAGCGGUGAAAUGCGUAGAUAUUCGGAGGAACACCAGUGGCGAAGGCGGCCUACUGGGCUCUAACUGACGCUGAGGCUCGAAAGUGUGGGGAGCAAACAGGAUUAGAUACCCGCGUA
rnacentral:rRNA from 1 species